rnacentral:rRNA from 1 species
UACAGAGGGGGCAAGCGUUGUCCGGACUUACUGGGCGUAAAGGGUGCGCAGGCGGUGGGAUGCGUCGUCGCUGAAAGCUCUCGGCUCAACAGAGAGAGGCGUGGCGAUACGAUCCCGCUCGAGUCUCUGAGAGGGUGGCGGAACUCCUGGAGUAGUGGUGAAAUGCGUAGAGAUCAGGAAGAACACCCGUGGCGCAAGCGGCCACCUGGCAGAGCACUGACGCUGAGGCACGAAAGCGUGGGGAGCGAACCGG